GGAGCUAACGACGCUAGCGACUAUUGCUAAGGACUCUUCUGAUGACCAGAUCCAACAACAAAGCAGGUUGAUUCAGCUCCUCCUGGACUCCAGCUGAGCUCUGAGAGUGUGAACGAGUUCAUCCGACGAGCCGGGUCCGUUUCAUGGCCAAAGAAGGGGUCAAAGGAGCAAGUCUGACUUCUCUACAACACAGCAAACAUUUGGAUAACUGCUCAAUAUUCACACUGAUUUUAUUCAUGGGCUUUUGACAGUGUUGACAUUACAUUUCUGCAGAUUUUUACCCCAGAGACACCAGAGAAUACUCAGACACGCAGAAGAAAACUUCACACAGAAAAGACCCAGCUGGGAUUUGAACCGCCCAUCGCUAAUCUCUACUCUCUUUUUCAUAAACACAAGUGAAGAAUUAUUACCGGACUUCUUUUUGUGUGGAUAUAUUUCACAAAAUAUGUUGUACUUUAUGUAAUAAAUUGCCUGCUUUUCA